AGGAUUAACGCUGGCGGCGUGCCUAACACAUGCAAGUCGAACGAGGUAGCAAUACCUAGUGGCAGACGGGUGAGUAACGCGUGGUCAACCUACCGUUGAGUGGGGAUAACUAGCCGAAAGGUUAGCUAAUACCGCAUACGAGUCUCGGGGGCAUCCCUGGGCCUUAAAAGGAGCAAUCCGCUCGAUGACGGGACCGCGUCCCAUUAGCUAGAUGGUGGGGUAAUGGCCUACCAUGGCUCCGAUGGGUAGCUGGUUUGAGAGAGCGACCAGCCACACUGGGACUGAGAAACGGCCCAGACUCCUACGGGAGGCAGCAGUGAGGAAUUUUCCGCAAUGGGCGAAAGCCUGACGGAGCGACGCCGCGUGUGGGAAGAAGGCCUUCGGGUCGUAAACCACUGUCGAAGGGGACGAGUAAAUGAACGGUACCCUUGGAGGAAGGCCCCGGCUAACUACGUGCCAGCAGCCGC
rnacentral:rRNA from 1 species